UCAAGCUAAAAAGGGCGCAAGGUGAAUGCCUUGGCACUGGGAGCCGAUGAAAGACGUGGUAAGCUGCGAAAAGCUUCGGGGAGGAGCAAACAUCCAUUGAUCCGGAGAUAUCUGAAUGGGGCAACCCAAUGGAGUUCAUACUCCAUUAUCCAAUACUGAAUCCAUAGGUAUUGGAAGGGAACCGCCUGAACUGAAACAUCUAAGUAGGGCGAGGAAGAGACAUCAAACGAGAUUCCGUAAGUAGUGGCGAGCGAACGCGGAAGAGGGCAAACCGAGAGGAGAAAUCCUUUCGGGGUACGGACUGCUUUAAGGACUGAAAGAGUUAACAGAAUGGCAUGGGAAGGCCAACCGAAGAGUGUGAGAGUCACGUAAGUAAAAAUUCUGACAGCUGCGCAGGAUCCAGAGUACGGCCAGACACGUGAAACCUGGUCGGAACAUGGGGGGACCACCCUCCAACCCUAAAUACUACCCAGUGACCGAUAGCGUAUAGUACUGUGAAGGAAAGGUGAAAAGGACCCCGGGAGGGGAGUGAAAGAGAACCUGAAACCUUGUGCCUACAAGCACAUAGAGCCCGUCAAAGGGUGAUAUGGUACUUUUUGUAGAACGGUCCGGCGAGCGAUUGUACGUUGCGAGCUUAAGGUCUUAAGGACUGGAGGCGUAGCGAGAGCGAGUCUAAACAGGGCGUUUAGUAGCGUGCAAUGGGCCCGAAACCGGGUGACCUACCCAUGAUCAGGCUGAAGUGAAAGUAAAAUUUCAUGGAGGGCCGAACCGACCUCCGUUGAAAAGGCGGCGGAUGAAUUGUGGGUAGCGGAGAAAUUCCAAUCGAACUCGGAGAUAGCUGGUUCUCCCCGAAAUAGCUUUAGGGCUAGCCUCAUGUUAGAUAUCCGGAGGUAAAGCACUGAAUGGCCUAGCGUCCGAGAGGAUAGCGAAGCCUAUCAAACUAAGAAUGCCGGAAUAUUGAUGCAUGGGAGUCAGACAGUGUGAGAUAAAUCUCAUUGUCAAAAGGGAAACAGCCCAGAUCUACAGCUAAGGUCCCAAAUUGUAUCUAAGUGGAAAACGAUGUGGAAAUACGCAGACAACCAGGAUGUUGGCUCAGAAGCAGCCACUCAUUUAAAGAGUGCGUAAUAGCUCACUGGUCGAGCGUCUCUGCGCGGAAAAUUUAACGGGGCUAAGAUACAAACCGAAGCUUAGGCUGCACUUUUAGUGCGGGGUAGGGGAGCGUUGUGUAAGCGGAGAAACGAUAGCGUAAGCGGUCGUGGAGUUUACAGAAGUGAGAAUGCCGGAAUGAGUAGCGCGAAUGAUGUGAGAAUCAUCAUGGCCGGAAACCUCAGGUUUUUGGAGGAAGGUUCGUCCGCUCCAAGUUAGGCGGGAGCUAAGGUGAGGCCGAAAGGCGUAGCCGAUGCACAGACGGUAGAGAUUCCGUCCCCACCGAAAGAUUUAAGCGCAGGGACACUUUUAGAAGGUCGGAGCCAGGUGUUGGUUCUGGUAGAGAUCGAGGGAAGAUUAGUACCGAAGUCCGGCUGGAUAAGAGGCGAGAAAAGCUGCGUGUAUAUCUAAGGUGCCCGUACCGCAAACCGACACAGGUAGGUAGGAAGAAGAUUCUAAGGCCAACGGGAGAAGGGUUGUUAAGGAACUCGGCAAGUUGACCCCGUAACUUCGGAAUAAGGGGUGCUCACGAGAGUGAGCCGCAGAGAAUAGGCCCAGGCAACUGUUUACCAAAAACACAGGUUUGUGCUAAAUCGAAAGAUGACGUAUACGAGCUGACGCCUGCCCGGUGCUGGAAGGUUAAAAGGAGAUGUGCAAGCAUUGAAUUGAAGCCCCAGUGAACGGCGGCCGUAACUAUAACGGUCCUAAGGUAGCGAAAUUCCUUGUCAGGUAAGUUCUGACCCGCAUGAAAGGCGUAAUGAUUUGGGCACUGUCUCAACAGCCCGCCCGGCGAAAUUGUAGUACCGGUGAAGAUGCCGGUUACCCGCGACAAGACG
rnacentral:rRNA from 1 species